ensembl:lncRNA
CUUUUUGUGUUAAAGGAAAGAAUAUUAAAUAGUCUUUAUUCAGUUUACAGUGUUGUCAUUAGUGAGAUACAAAGAUAACGACUAUAAGCCAAUUAAUGUGGACUGUCUCUGCACACUAAAUUUAGGAAUGCAAAUUCCUAGUGGAUAGAGAUCUUUCACUCUUCUUAGCUCCUAUCUGAUCAUAGCCGCUGUCUGCACCUGGGGGGGGGGGGAGUGAUAUGAAUGCAGCCAGACCUCCCCGAGAUAACCUGAUGAUUUGAAGGCUUUUUAACUCUCUUGUGACAUUCUCUGUGCAGCCUUACCACACCACUGCCAGUCUUAGCUGAGGCAGUGGCUUAAGCUAUCUCACUGUCUUGCAAAUGCACUGCCAUGGCACAGCUGGAAAUGGGCUGAAGGGAACUGGCUUAUCACCUCUCUGUCAACUUGCUUCCAGUGGUUAAAUGCAGAAGGGUGAAACAAGGGUUGUCCAUUAAGGUGAGUGAGAGGAGAGACUGUGGAAAGUGCUGUGUCACUCUGCUAGGGCAGAACACUCUUGCUAAUUGCAGUGAUGAGUUUAGAGGCAUCACCUGAACUGGAAACUCGCUGCUGAUGUUUCCUGUCUGGGAGUGCUGGCUCACACUGCAGUGCUAUGCAGUCUAUUACAAUGGGGAUGUGGGUCCUGCAGCAAUAAGGUUUGCAUCCAUGAAUCGUGGAUUAACAAAGCAUCUGAUGUUUUGUUCUUGUAACGGCAAUCCCUUGAGGACAGUGUGGUGGUGUGGUUCCCUUUGUUUUUCUUUUCCCUACAGUAUCGCUUUGUGACGCAGUCUGGUAGUGUGGCAGCAAGAACUGCUUUCAACACAGAAGAAACAGCCUCAAGUCUGUAUAUCUCAUGUUCGAGGAGUUGGAUUCUGUGUCUGCACUGAGAAAUGCAAAUUAAACUGGAUAUUUAUGUAGUAGUGUACAUAGUCUGUGUGUGUGUGUUCUUGGAACUAGUUUAGAAAUCCCACACCAUGCUUUCGGUGGUGUGCAAGCUGGCCAAAAUUUGGUUCAUUAUGCAGUGUACACUUUCUCGAAUAAAUGCAGUUUCUACUUUUUUCUUACAAGGAAUUUUUUUCAUAUGAUCUUUUUUCAGCAAAUUCAAGGGUAUGUUUCUGCAGUACCGUAGUUACAGUAGCUGGUAUUUCUUGCUGUGUGGCUUUGUGUCCUUCCACUUGCUUCUAGAACCGGAGCUGUGUCUGACCCUUGUUGUGGAGCGUGGUAGUCGUCGUGUUUCACACCAACUAGCAUCAAUAAGGCAGGCAGGGAUGUGUGAACCUCAGGCCUGGUUAGUUACCCACGGCGGCUUCAGCACUGACAUCUGCACGGAGGCCAAAGUGGGACGUCCAGGAGAACGUAGGCUGUGUAGUUACUGCUUUGGUUUUGUUUGACCCGUGGGGAGCUGGGCGAUGGUCUUGGAGAUGAUAAAAUAAAAGGAAACCCCCAGUUUUUCAAGAAUGUGUUUAUGGUAUUAAAGGAAUUUAUUUAACUAUGAAACACGGGAACAAAUGUGCUUACAUUGAGCAAUGUGAAGAUGUUAGUUACAGGUACAGUACUUCCAAAGGAAGAGCAUCUCCAAAACCCCCCAAAAAAGAGUAAAUAUGAAUUUGUAUUUUUUGAAGAAUGUAAAAUGUGAAAUAAUGGUGUUUGCUUAAUUGCUCAUUUUGUAUGAAGUUAAUAUUGUACUUUGAAAUAUCUACAAAGAAGUGGAAAUUAACUUUUUUUGGAAUUGAAAGCAAUAUUAAUACUAAUGGAAUCCUAAUUAAAUGCUUAUUUAAACACUGUGUUACCAUAGUCUUUACUCAGGGUACUGCCG